UACAUUUCACUCCAGACCCUCGCUAAGCUCCUGAGAAACGCCAGGUAAACGUUUGCCUACACACACCCUAAUCGCAACAUCAGGGUUGCGGCACGCCGGAAAAACGACACGGAACGUCAGGAAGGGGUCAAUGGCCGUUACGCUAAUUCAGUAAGCCUGGAAUUUUGUCUGAUCUUGAGGAAAAGGGGAAGCGUUAAAAACAGUUAUCAAUAUAGAAUGUAUAAAUUGUAUGUAAAUCAACAUUUUGUUUGUGUUUUGGAGUAAAUGCGGAUCAAUAAUAACUAACCCC
rnacentral:sRNA from 1 species